CCGUGUACAAGUGUAUAUAUAUAUAUAUAUAUAUAUAUAUAUAUACAUAUGUACAUACGUUUUUACAUGUGUAUAUUUUAUAAUUUUAAUGGGUAUAUACUAACAUGAGUUGUGUUUGCAAUUAGUUCUAACAUAUCUUGAUAGAGUAAGGAAUUUUUUUUUUUUUUUUUAUAAUAUAAUUAUUUAUUUUUAUUUAUAUAUAUAUAUAUAUAUAUGUAAUACCAUCACCUAUAAAAUAUAUAUGAAAAAAAAAAUAUAUGUGACUUAAUGCUUUACUCAUGUGUUUCAUUUUAUUUGUGAUCGACCAACAAAUUUGAAACAUAUACAUGUAUAUUAAAGCAAAACAUAAUUUUGUGGUACUUCUGUAAGAUACAUAUAUUAAUAGAAUAUCCAUAUAUAUAUAUAUAUAUAUAUAUAUUGUCAAGGUUUAGUGACAAAAUGAGUCAAAAAAACAAUAUGUUUCAAAUUUUAAACCAGGAAGAUAAUAUAAAAAGGAAAGCAAAAAAAAUUAAAGAGUCUCAAAAAAAAAAAAGAAAAUGAAAAAAAAGAGAUGAUAGAUCAGUUUUCAAUUGAUAUCAGUAAAUACAUUACGAAUCCUUAUGACGAUGAUGAAUAUGAUGAGUUUUUUUAUAAUGUCGAUAAAUUACAAGA